rnacentral:rRNA from 1 species
GACGAACGCUGGCGGCGUGCUUAACACAUGCAAGUCGAACGGAAAGGCCCUGCUUUUGUGGGGUGCUCGAGUGGCGAACGGGUGAGUAACACGUGAGUAACCUGCCCUUUACUUUGGGAUAACUUCAGGAAACUGGGGCUAAUACCGGAUAGGAGCUCCUGCUGCAUGGUGGGGGUUGGAAAGUUUCGGCGGUUGGGGAUGGACUCGCGGCUUAUCAGCUUGUUGGUGGGGUAGUGGCUUACCAAGGCUUUGACGGGUAGCCGGCCUGAGAGGGUGACCGGAAACAUUGGGACUGAGAUACGGCCCAGACUCCUACGGGAGGCAGCAGUGGGGAAUAUUGCAAAAUGGGCGGAAGCCUGAUGCAGCAACGCAGCGUGCGGGAUGACGGCCUUCGGGUUGUAAACCGCUUUCGCCUGUGACGAAGCGUGAGUGACGGUAAUGGGUAAAGAAGCACCGGCUAACUACGUG